CCUCAAUAUCACUACAUGACUGAAACUGUACUUUUACAUAACAUUAAUACAUCUAUCAUGUCCACACUAACUAUUACAUACACGUGACUUCCUUACUCUUGUAAACUUCCUGGUCUACCCUGUGCCUGCAAUCCUGGGGAAAUUGGGAGAGGGGUGAGCUACUAGAGCCUAGUGAGCAGAAUAAUAAAACAUUUAAAAACAUAUGAUAACAUGGAAUGCAUCACAUCACAGCUAAAACACAUCAAGGAUGAACCUGUCACCAAUAGCCCUCUACAUGGUCCAACUGUGCCAGAACGUAGAAUGGGUCCUGGUCUUUCCCUUACAUAUCGUAACAUAACAUGGUCCAACUGUGCCAGAACGUAGAAUGGGUCCUGGUCUUUCCCUUACAUAGUGCCAGCGAACGUAGAAUGGGUCCCACUGGUCUUACAUUCUGUACCGUACAUAUCACAUCGUCAUAUCAUAGGUCGAGGGCUAUGGAUCAUCCAACAUUCAUCCACAUCAACAUUUAAAAUAUGCAAUGCAACAUAUUCGUGAAUUCUAAUGCAAGCAACCUAAUUCAUCACAUGGCAUUCAUGAUGCAUGAUCAUGCUCAAACUAUACGAUCAAUUUGCUUAAAAACAUAAAGGUUUAUUCCACUCACCUCUGGAUAGCUCUGACCAGACACUGGGGCAACAGACUCACUGCGGGGGUCCUCGGUUCCUCGGGUCCGAACCUACACAGGUGGACUCAAAUGAGAGACCAAACAUACGUGAACAUAACUCUAAACUAUUCCCCAAAAACCCCCUAAAACAUCAUGGAAUAAUCAUAGAAAAACAUGCAAGAAAUGGCUGAACAGGGCACUUUCGGCGGCAGGUUCGGCGGCCGAAAGUCCCUCCAGAGCCGAAAGUCAGGCAGGUUCGGCGGCACCUUCGGCGGCCGAAACUCCCAGACAGAGGCGAAACUCAUGCAUGUUCGGCGGCACCUUCGGCGGUCGAAAGUCCCAGACAGAGACGAAAGUCUUCUUUCGGGGGCAAGCUUCGGCAGCCGAAGGCUGCCUCCACAAGCAUGUUCGGCGGCCGAAAGUUCCUUCGGCUGCCGAACCUGGUUUCUCCCAGAAUGGCAGAAACUCAGCUCCCCUAUGCAUUUAUGCCUCCAAUCUCAUCCAAACAUGCAUAAACCUAUUCUACAACAUUCCUCAAUCAUACACAAGCAAACAUACAAGUUCCUAGGGGCAUCAAACCAUCAAAAACCCCAACUACAACACACAAGCAACUCACAUUGUUCAAAAACAUACAUUUAUACCCAUAAACAUACUAUGACCUAACAUGCAUUCUACCCCAUAGAUCUUGCAUAAAACUUACUUUAAACAUGAAAUGAGCUUAAGAUCGGGUCUUACCUCUUGAAGAUCGAGAGAGAGACGUCCUAAACUCGGAGGUGGGAGAUUUUUGGGUUCUUGAACCUCAAAACUCCAAAACUUGCUUAAAACUUGAAAAUCUUCAAAACAAAGUAAAAACUAGUGAAAAACUUGAAAGAUCUGAAGGAAAGGACUCAAGAUCGGUGAGGGGUGGCGGAAAGCUCACCUUGGCCGGAAAUGGGGAAAAAGCUCGCCCAUUU
rnacentral:lncRNA from 1 species